GUGAAUCAUCGAAUCUUUGAACGCAAAUUGCACUCUCUUCGGAGAGUAUGAGCGUUUGAGGGCCAGACUAUAAAAAAUCGACAUAGUUGCUGUUUCGGGGUGGCGUUCGUAGGAAAUUGGGUUAUCUUAAAAAUUUUGGUUUUAAGCGACAUGAUAUUUUCUUUUUGGUUCCAUGAACGUUUCUAAGAUUUAUUUUUUUAAACGUUUAAGGUAUGGAUUUUUAUUUGAAGUGGCAGUCAGAUCGGAUCGCGC
rnacentral:misc_RNA from 1 species